rnacentral:rRNA from 1 species
UACGUAGGGGGCAAGCGUUGUCCGGAUUUAUUGGGCGUAAAGAGCGUGUAGGCGGCCGUACAGGUCAGCUGUGAAAACUCGAGGCUCAACCUCGAGACGUCGGUUGAAACCGUACGGCUAGAGUCCGGAAGAGGAGAGUGGAAUUCCCGGUGUAGCGGUGAAAUGACGCAGAUAUCGGGAAGAACACCCGUGGCGAAGGCGGCUCUCUGGGACGGUACUGACGCUGAGACGCGAAAGCGUGGGGAGCGAACAGG